CCUACGGGUGGCUGCAGUGGGGAAUAUUGGACAAUGGGCGCAAGCCUGAUCCAGCCAUGCCGCGUGAGUGAUGAAGGCCUUAGGGUUGUAAAGCUCUUUUGGCGGGGACGAUAAUGACGGUACCCGCAGAAUAAGUCCCGGCUAACUUCGUGCCAGCAGCCGCGGUAAUACGAAGGGGACUAGCGUUGUUCGGAAUCACUGGGCGUAAAGCGCACGUAGGCGGAUAUGUCAGUCAGGGGUGAAAUCCCGGGGCUCAACCUCGGAACUGCCCUUGAUACAGCAUGUCUUGAGUCCGAUAGAGGUGGGUGGAAUUCCUAGUGUAGAGGUGAAAUUCGUAGAUAUUAGGAAGAACACCGGUGGCGAAGGCGGCCCACUGGAUCGGUACUGACGCUGAGGUGCGAAAGCGUGGGGAGCAAACAGGAUUAGAUACCCGAGUAGUC
rnacentral:rRNA from 1 species